rnacentral:rRNA from 1 species
UACGUAGGGACCAAGCGUUGUUCGGAUUUACUGGGCGUAAAGGGCGCGUAGGCGGCGUGUUAAGUCAGCUGUGAAAUCUCCAAGCUUAACUUGGAACGGUCAGCUGAUACUGAUGUGCUAGAGUGCAGAAAGGGCAAUCGGAAUUCUUGGUGUAGCGGUGAAAUGCGUAGAUAUCUGGAGGAACACCGGUGGCGAAGGCGGCGAUCUGGACGAUGACUGACGCUGAGACGCGAAAGCGUGGGGAGCAAACAGG